ACGCUCGACACCUACGGAGGCAGCAGUGGGGAAUAUUGGGCAAUGGGCGAAAGCCUGACCCAGCAACGCCGCGUGAGGGAAGAAGGUUUUCGGAUUGUAAACCUCUGUCCUCAGGGACGAAGGACGUGACGGUACCUGAGGAGGAAGCCCCGGCUAACUACGUGCCANAGCGCGGUAAUCUGAGCGGGCUGGCAAGGC
rnacentral:rRNA from 1 species